CAAAAGUCUUAGAGCAGUAUUAAGAUUUUAUAACUUAAAAUUGCACUGAGGCUUUUGGG
ensembl:miRNA mdo-mir-7262e mdo-mir-7262e